CUACUUUUGCUGCCUCUUGUCAUUGUAUUUAAUAGUUUUGUUGUUCUUUUUAUUUUGUGAGCUCUAGUUUCCAAGGACUCUAUAGUGGGUUUGGAUAGUAUCUUGGUUGUAAGAGUUGUAAUUUUUUUUAAUGAUGACUCAUAAUUAAAGGUCGAAUGGUGUUGAUAGUUUAUUAAUUGGUAUGUAAUUUUGCUUUCAUUUUAGUGGCUUCAUUGGAUUUCAAAUUGGAAGGAACUUUAUUUGCAGCAGUUUGCAAGAGGUACCUCUCUAUUAUGAUGGGAUUGGGGGCAUACGUUUGUCAUUAAAACUUUCUGACUCUAGCCAAACACCUAUAGAGAUUGGAUUGGAUCUGGAGAAAUUGUUGCAGAAGGUUAUUUUAUUUCAAGUGACCCAAAGGAUGAGGUUCACCAUGUUCCUCUUGGGCCUAGUGCUAUGAAAGUGGGGAUAGAUCUU